UACGUAGGGGGCAAGCGUUGUCCGGAUUUAUUGGGCGUAAAGAGCGUGUAGGCGGCCGUACAGGUCAGCUGUGAAAACUCGAGGCUCAACCUCGAGACGUCGGUUGAAACCGUACGGCUAGAGUCCGGAAGAGGAGAGUGGAAUUCCCGGUGUAGCGGUGAAAUGCGCAGAUAUCGGGAGGAACACCGAUGGCGAAGGCAGGUCUCUGGGCCACUACUGACGCUGAGAAGCGAAAGCAUGGGGAGCGAACAGG
rnacentral:rRNA from 1 species